UGCCUCGGUCCCCGCUCCCUCCCUAGGGUGGCUGGCUCGCGCGGUGUGUCGCCCGAAGGCAGCUCUGGGUGGGCCCUCGCACGAGGGGAUCCCGGACAUCCUGGGAGUGGGAGACUGUCUUUGUCCCCACCCCCACCCCUCCGCCGCCGCCCUUACCUCCACCGGGUGACGGGCUCGCGGUGUCUCACUGAGGGUAACUGAUCGUAGGGAUUCUGGUCACUCCGAGAGUGAGGGGCUCUGAGUGUUUGUGGGUCACUGAGGGUGGCUCCGCGUGGACCCGUGCGCGGUGUCUUGGCCACCCUGCGAGUUGGGUGGCUGUGCCCCGUCCCUACCCCUCCCUCCCCGAGCCCCGCGGCUUGUGGGGGUGUGAUCCGCCCGGGUACACGCUCCCCUUUUCCCACAACAGUGCGUGCGCGCGCGUGUGUCUUAGGUGGGGUUCCAUGUAUCGACGGGUGUUCCUGCGCGGGGAGCGGCGCCGGUCGUGCUGUAACGGGUUUGUACGUGGGGGAGAAGCAUUUGGCCCGAGUCGGACAGCUGAGCUGCUCUUUUAUUUAUUGUCUCCUUUGCUGUGUGAACAGAAGUGGCUGCACUGGCCCCGGAACCCGCCCUCUCCCAGGCCCGGUCCCCGGAGAGCCGGCUCUGAUUGGAGGGAGCCUGGUCCCUCUGCCCGGCGCUUCUUGAUUUCUUCCGUUAGGAUUGGGAAGAAGAAAAAAAAAAAAAAAAAAAGAAAAAAAAAAAAAAGAAAAAUUUAUCAGAAGAGACUCACAUUGGAAAUACUCAUUUUCAGUCCAUUUGCCCGAUUUUGUAAUAGCUUCACUUGA
rnacentral:lncRNA from 1 species